UACGAAGGGAGCUAGCGUUGUUCGGAAUCACUGGGCGUAAAGCGCACGUAGGCGGACUUGUCAGUCAGGGGUGAAAUCCCGGGGCUCAACCUCGGAACUGCCUUUGAUACUGCAAAUCUCGAGUCCGGAAGAGGUGAGUGGAAUUCCUAGUGUAGAGGUGAAAAUUCGUAGAUAUUAGGAAGAACACCAGUGGCGAAGGCGGCUCACUGGUCCGGUACUGACGCUGAGGUGCGAAAGCGUGGGGAGCAAACAGG
rnacentral:rRNA from 1 species